rnacentral:misc_RNA from 1 species
GAUGGAAGAUCGUAGCGAAAUGCGAUAAGUAAUGUGAAUUGCAGAAUUCAGUGAAUCAUCGAAUCUUUGAACGCACAUUGCGCCCCUUGGUAUUCCGAGGGGCAUGCCUGUUCGAGCGUCAUAUUAACCACUCCCGCUUGCGGGGUCUUGGGCUUCGCCUCCGGGCGGGCCUUAAAAUCAGUGGCGGUGCCGUCGGGCUCUACGCGUAGUAAAUUUUCUCGCGAUAGGGUCCCGGUGGAUGCUUGCCAACAACCCCCAACUUCUUAAGGUUGACCUCGGAUCAGGUAGGGAUACCCGCUGAACUUAAGCAUAUCAAUAAGCGGAGGA